rnacentral:rRNA from 1 species
UCAAGCGAACAAGGGCGCAGGGCGAAUGCCUUGGCACUGGGAGCCGAUGAAAGACGUGAUAAGCUGCGAUAAGCUUCGGGGAGCUGCAAAUAAGCAUUGAUCCGGAGAUUUCUGAAUGAGGAAACUCACUCAGGUUCAUACCUGAGUACGUUGUACUGAAAUUCAAAAUAGGUACAUCGAGGGAACCGCCUGAACUGAAACAUCUAAGUAGGGCGAGGAAGAGACAUCAAACGAGAUUCCGUAAGUAGUGGCGAGCGAACGCGGAAGAGGGCAAACCGAAGGUAGAAAUACCUUCGGGGUACGGAGCGCAUUUAAGACUCAAGUUGUUAACCGAACGGCAUGGGAAGGCCGGUCAGAGAGUGUGAGAACCACGUAGGUGAAAACGACAAGAGCUGAGCGAUUUCCAGAGUACGGCCAGACACGUGAAACCUGGUCGGAAGAUGGGGGGACCACCCUCCAACCCUAAAUACUACCCAGUGACCGAUAGCGUAUAGUACUGUGAAGGAAAGGUGAAAAGCACCCCGGGAGGGGAGUGAAAAAGAACCUGAAACCCUGUGCCUACAAGCACCUAGAGCACGUCAAUGUGUGAUAGGGUACUUUUUGUAGAACGGUCCGGCGAGCGAUUGUAUGCAGCAAGGUUAAGGACUUAAGGUCUGGAGCCGAAGCGAAAGCGAGUUUGAAAAGGGCGUUAAGUUGCAUAUAAUGGGCCCGAAACCGGGUGACCUACCCAUGGUCAGGUUGAAGUGGAAGUAAAAUUCCAUGGAGGACCGAACCGACCUCCGUUGAAAAGGCGGCGGAUGAACUGUGGGUAGCGGAGAAAUUCCAAUCGAACCCGGAGAUAGCUGGUUCUCCCCGAAAUAGUUUUAGGACUAGCCUCAAGUUAGAUACCUGGAGGUAAAGCACUGAAUAGCCUAGCGGCCGAGAGGUUAGCGAAGCUUAUCAAACUCAGAAUGCCAGAGUAUUGAUGCUUGGGAGUCAGACAGUGUCAGAUAAAUGUCAUUGUCAAAAGGGAAACAGCCCAGAUCUACAGCUAAGGUCCCAAAGUCAGGUUAAGUGGAAAACGAUGUGAAGAUACGCAGACAACCAGGAUGUUGGCUCAGAAGCAGCCACUCAUUCAAAGAGUGCGUAAUAGCUCACUGGUCGAGCGUCUUUGCGCGGAGAAUUUAACGGGGCUAAACCUGACACCGAAGCUUAGGCAAUCCAGCAAUGGAUUGGGUAGGGGAGCGUUGUAUACGCGGAGAAACAGUAGCGUGAGCGGCUGUGGAGUGUAUAGAAGUGAGAAUGCCGGAAUGAGUAGCGCGAAUGCAGUGAGAAUCUGCAUGGCCGAAAGCCUCAGGUUUUUGGAGGAAGGUUCGUCCGCUCCAAGUUAGUCGGGAGCUAAGGUGAGGCCGGAAGGCGUAGCCGAUGCACAGACGGUAGAGAUUCCGUCACCACCAAAAGAGUUAAGCACAGGGACACAUUUGAAGUCUCAGAGCCGGGUGUUGGUUCCGGUAGAGAUCGAGGGAAGUUAGUACCGAAGUCUGAGAUGGAAGAUGGCGAGAAAAGCUGUGUGUAUUUCUGAGGUGCCCGUACCGCAAACCGACACAGGUAGGUAGGAAGAAGAUUCUAAGGCCAACGGGAGAAGGGUUGUUAAGGAACUCGGCAAAUUGACCCCGUAACUUCGGGAGAAGGGGUGCUCCAGAGAUGGAGCCGCAGAGAAUCGGCCCAAGCAACUGUUUACCAAAAACACAGGUUUGUGCUAAAUCGAAAGAUGACGUAUACGAGCUGACGCCUGCCCGGUGCUGGAAGGUUAAGAGGAGAUGUGCAAGCAUUGAAUCGAAGCCCCAGUGAACGGCGGCCGUAACUAUAACGGUCCUAAGGUAGCGAAAUUCCUUGUCAGGUAAG